AAUUGCGUGGCCGUGCGAUCUAAGGCGCUGGAGUAAGGUUCCAGUCCGAAAGGGCGCAGGUUCAAAUCCUGCCGCGAUCA
rnacentral:tRNA from 1 species